AUUAACACGCGUGUUAUUAUUAUAUUUUUAAUCGAUGGAUCAUUGUGAAUAUUAUAAAAAUUUAGAAAUAAAUUAUAAUUAUUAGGCAAUAUAAUUUUUACGUAGUCGAUUUGAAUAGGAUAGAUGAUUCUAGCCAAUCAGGAAGCUUCUAAUAUUUAACGGUAAGAAAAAUUAAUUGUAUAGCAUGAGUCUACUAUUAGGAAUUGCAGGAAAUAUCCUCUCAUCGUCUCAUAAAUAUAUAAUUCUGUGGUAUUUGAUUAUGUAAAAAUUUAUAUAUAGUUAAUAUUCUUAUUUAUUUUAUUUAUAUUUUUAAUUGUUAAUUUUACUAUAAAAGUUAUAUAAUUUUACAAUUGAAAUGUAUUAGAUAAUAGUCAUAUUUUAACACAGCUGAAAUAAGUUAUAUAGAUUACUCCAGCCAAUCAGGAAGCUUGUAAAAUCUAGUGGAUAAAGGAAUCAGUUGCAUGGCGUCAGUCUACUGCCAAGAAUCGAAGGAGAAUUGCGCGACAUUUUAUUAUAUUUAAUUACGUGAAUUUAGUGUAAUAUAAUUUCUAAGUUAUUAAUUUUUUUUUAAUUAAUGUGUUUAAGCAUUUGUGAAAUAUUAUAUCAAAAUUGUUUUUUGAAAUUUUUUGUUGGUUAUCAUUGGUUAUUGUAUGUAUUUAAUAAUUGCAGUAAUUGAUUAUUCAUGUUAUAAAUAUUUAUAAUCGGAUUUGAAUGUUAUUCUCAUAUUAUUUUAAUAUUAUUUUAAUUUCAUAUAAUUGUUUUAUUGUUCUAAAAUAAUUUUUAAUUGUGCAGAUUACUUGAUUAUUGGAAGGUGAAUGGCUUGGAAGAUGCAAUAGGUUAUGAAUACUUCACGUUCAUAUAAAUAUGGAAAUGAAUGGUUUCGUAUUACGUUCAAUGUUCCGAAUUGUUGUCAAACUUCGAGCAUGUAAGUCUCCUUAAUCCAAUUCAAUAAACGAAAUCGUGGCACGAGCUGCCAUUUUGCUGUCGAAUGUCGUGCUGUGUGGUAGCUUCAUUUCGCUUUCAGUAUAGUUCUCGCUUCUUAAUUCAUAAUGGUUGUGCAAUAACUUUUCAUGGGACAUUAAUAGCAGCAUCAUUAGCAGAUUUUUCACAUCUAAUGGUGAGUCACAUAUAUUUCUGUUUUUCCGGACACUCAAUUAUUCAGAUGAAAGAUCUAAAUCAAAUGACUGUG